ACUCCUACGGGAGGCAGCAGUGGGGAAUAUUGCACAAUGGGCGCAAGCCUGAUGCAGCCAUGCCGCGUGUGUGAAGAAGGCCUUCGGGUUGUAAAGCACUUUCAGUUGUGAGGAAGGUGGUGUGUUAAUAGCGGCAUCAUUUGACGUUAGCAACAGAAGAAGCACCGGCUAACUCCGUGCCAGCAGCCGCGGUAAUACGGAGGGUGCGAGCGUUAAUCGGAAUUACUGGGCGUAAAGCGCAUGCAGGUGGUUUGUUAAGUCAGAUGUGAAAGCCCGGGGCUCAACCUCGGAACUGCAUUUGAAACUGGCAGACUAGAGUACUGUAGAGGGGGGUAGAAUUUCAGGUGUAGCGGUGAAAUGCGUAGAGAUCUGAAGGAAUACCGGUGGCGAAGGCGGCCCCCUGGACAGAUACUGACACUCAGAUGCGAAAGCGUGGGGAGCAAACAGGAUUAGAUACCCUGGUAGCACAGA
rnacentral:rRNA from 1 species